rnacentral:rRNA from 1 species
CCUACGGGCGGCAGCAGUGGGGAAUAUUGGACAAUGGGCGAAAGCCUGAUCCAGCCAUGCCGCGUGUGUGAAGAAGGCCUUCGGGUUGUAAAGCACUUUCAGUGGGGAAGAAAGCCUUGGGGCUAAUACCCUCGAGGAAGGACAUCACCCACAGAAGAAGCACCGGCUAACUCCGUGCCAGCAGCCGCGGUAAUACGGAGGGUGCGAGCGUUAAUCGGAAUUACUGGGCGUAAAGCGCGCGUAGGCGGUCUGAUAAGCCGGUUGUGAAAGCCCCGGGCUCAACCUGGGAACGGCAUCCGGAACUGUCAGGCUAGAGUGCGGGAGAGGAAGGUAGAAUUCCCGGUGUAGCGGUGAAAUGCGUAGAGAUCGGGAGGAAUACCAGUGGCGAAGGCGGCCUUCUGGACUGACACUGACGCUGAGGUGCGAAAGCGUGGGUAGCAAACAGGAUUAGAUACCCCAGUAGUC